UACGAAGGUGGCAAGCGUUGUUCGGAUUCACUGGGCAUAAAGGGCGCGUAGGCGGUCCGGAAAGCGGCUUGUGAAAGCCCGGAGCUCAACUCCGGAAUUGCGGGCCGAACUGCCGGUCUAGAGGGCAGGAGGGGGGUGUGGAACUCCAGGUGUAGCGGUGAAAUGCGUAGAUAUCUGGAGGAACGCCGGUGGCGAAAGCGACACCCUGGCCUGCAUCUGACGCUGAGGCGCGAAAGCGUGGGUAGCAAACAGG
rnacentral:rRNA from 1 species